GAUGAACGCUGGCGGCGUGCCUAAUACAUGCAAGUCGAGCGAACGGACGAGAAGCUUGCUUCUCUGAUGUUAGCGGCGGACGGGUGAGUAACACGUGGAUAACCUACCUAUAAGACUGGGAUAACUUCGGGAAACCGGAGCUAAUACCGGAUAAUAUUUUGAACCGCAUGGUUCAAAAGUGAAAGACGGUCUUGCUGUCACUUAUAGAUGGAUCCGCGCUGCAUUAGCUAGUUGGUAAGGUAACGGCUUACCAAGGCAACGAUGCAUAGCCGACCUGAGAGAGUGGUCGGCCACACGGGAACUGAGACACGGUCCAGACUCCUACGGGAGGCAGCAGUAGGGAAUCGUCCGCAAUGGGCGAAAGCCUGACGGAGCAACGCCGCGUGAGUGAUGAAGGUCUUCGGAUCGUAAAACUCUGUUAUUAGGGAAGAACAUAUGUGUAAGUAACUGUGCACAUCUUGACGGUACCUAAUCAGAAAGCCACGGCUAACUACGUG
rnacentral:rRNA from 1 species